AGAGUUUGAUUCUGGCUCAGAACGAACGCUGGCAGCGUGGAUUAGGCAUGCAAGUCGAACGAGAAGCCCUGGUCUCAAUCUUCGGAGAGAAACCAGGGUGGAAAGUGGGUGAGUAACGCGUGGGUAACCUGCCUCUGAGUUGGGGACAACCCUUCGAAAGGGGGGCUAAUACCGAAUACGGUCUUCUCGGGCAUCCGAGAAUGACUAAAGGUGGGGAUUCUUCGGAACCUGUCGCUCGGAGAGGGGCUCGCGUACCAUCAGCUUGUUGGUGAGGUAAUGGCUCACCAAGGCUCCGACGGUUAGCUGGUCUGAGAGGAUGGUCAGCCACACUGGGACUGAGACACUGCCCAGACUCCUACGGGAGGCUGCAGUCGAGGAUCAUAGUCAAUGCGCGGAAGCGUGAACUUGCGACGCUGCGUGGAGGAUGACGGCCCUAGGGUUGUAAACUCCUGUCAUGGGGGAAAAAUCCUCCUGUCCUGAAUACGGGCGGGAGUUGAUGGUACCUCAAGAGGAAGCCACGGCUAACUCUGUGCCAGCAGCCGCGGUAAUACAGAGGUGGCGAGCGUUGUUCGGAUUUACUGGGCGUAAAGCGUGCGUAGGUGGCAUCGUGUGUCGGAUGUGAAAGCUCAUGGCUCAACCGUGAAAUUGCAUUCGAAACUGCGGAGCUAGAGUGCAGGAGGGGAGAGCGGAAUUCUUGGUGUAGCGGUGAAAUGCGUUGAUCUCAAGAAGAACACCGGUGGCGAAGGCGGCUCUCUGGAAUGUUACUGACACUGAGGCACGAAAGCUGGGGGAGCGAACAGGAUUAGAUACCCUGGUAGUCCCAGCUGUAAACGGUGUGCACUUGGUGUGGGGGGUAUUGACCCCCCCCGUGCCGGAGCUAACGCGUUAAGUGCACCGCCUGGGGAGUACGGCCGCAAGGCUAAAACUCAAAGAAAUUGACGGGGGCCCGCACAAGCGGAGGAGCAUGUGGCUUAAUUCGAUGCAACGCGAAGAACCUUACCAGGGCUUGACAUGCAGCUGCACGUCCGGUGAAAGUCGGAAAGCCUUCGAGGGUGCUGCACAGGUGCUGCAUGGCUGUCGUCAGUUCGUGCCGCGAGGUGUUGGGUUAAGUCCCGCAACGAACGCAACCCCUGUGGUUAGUUGCCACCACCGGUGAUGAGCCGGUGAGCACUCUAGCCAGACUGCCCGUACAAGCGGGAGGAAGGUGGGGACGACGUCAAGUCAGUAUGGCCCUUACGUCCUGGGCUGCACACGUGCUACAAUGGUCGGUACAGAGGGACGCAAUGCCGCGAGGUG
rnacentral:rRNA from 1 species